rnacentral:rRNA from 1 species
UUGUGGUUUAAUUCGAUGAUACGCGAGGAACCUUACCCGGGCUUGAAAUGCAUCUGACAGGGCGGAGACGCCCUCUCCCUUCGGGGCAGAUGUGUAGGUGCUGCAUGGUUGUCGUCAGCUCGUGCCGUGAGGUGUCGGCUUAAGUGCCAUAACGAGCGCAACCCUCAUCAUUAGUUACCAUCAGGUGAAGCUGGGGACUCUAGUGAGACUGCCAUCGUAAGAUGCGAGGAAGGUGGGGAUGACGUCAAAUCAGCACGGCCCUUACGUCCAGGGCUACACACGUGUUACAAUGGCCAGUACAAAGGGCAGCUACCGGGUGACCGGAUGCUAAUCUCUAAAGCUGGUCUCAGUUCGGAUCGAAGUCUGCAACCCGACUUCGUGAAGCUGGAUUCGCUAGUAAUCGCGCAUCAGCCAUGGCGCGGUGAAUACGUUCCCGGGCCUU